rnacentral:misc_RNA from 1 species
UUAGGAAUUUGUUUAUGUAUUUAGCCUUCAGUGAUUGUUUGAUGACUUUGCCUCGUUGGUGAAGGUAAUGCUAAUAUUGGUUUUAGCCUCUGUUUGGGACCAAAUAAAUCUUUUAGGAGUAACAUUAGUUGAAAAAGGAGGAGAUAAGAUCAGAAUUCAAGGCAUUGGAAACAGAUAAUUGAGAAAAGUGCAUGAGAAGGAACAACUACUCAUUAUUUCAAAGGAGUCCUGAAAAAUGAUUCUUCCAUUCUCCUUGAAAAUCAUAACUUCAUGAAAACUCCAGGCAAUAAUGGGAACAAAAGCACACGACUAACAAUCUCUGCCCAAUAACAAGCUAUGAACAAGAAGUUUCUUACUCUAACUUAUUAUUCGUCCUAGAUAUCAAACGAAUAUUAAGAAAAUAGCCUGGUAAGAAAUUCACAUAGUUAAUGAGAAGGCAUUCGCUUAAAA